rnacentral:lncRNA from 1 species
CAACUCACUACACCAAAUAAUUUUAAGAAUCCUAAGAAUAUUGUUGUUCUUUAAAUUACACUUGAAGAUAAUUUGCAGCAAGGAAAUUCGACAACUUAACCAAACUUCUCAACAUAAAAUGUCGUUAAGCACAAUGCUCUUAGGAAGGAAAGACAACAUGAAACAUACAACAAGUCUUUAUACGAACGAACAUUUAAACAACCCGGAGAAAGGUUGUCGAGCAAACGACAUGGAGCACAAAGUAGGAAGGACACUUAAAACCUUCAAAUCCCCCGAAUGACUUAUCAUUGAGGUGGUCAGAUUUCAACAAUAGGUGCUUGCAGAGGUCUUCAUCAUAUUUUUCUUAACAAAUUACUUUUGGGUUUCUUUCGUCGGCUCGUUCUUAAGAUCAACCUCUAAUAGCUCUGAAACCUUAGAAUCACGUGUUCCUCCGAGGCUCCCAGGAGAAUUUUCACCUUCCUUUUUAAAAAAAAUCAUACCCAACAUGUACGUCUCAUUAUGCACAGGCGAUGGACUUUAGUUGGUGUCUGCUGCAUCCAAAUUUUGUACGAUAAUGUCACAUGCAUCAAUAAGCUUCUGAAUUGCUUUCUUCAGACUCCAACACUUCUCUAUGCCAUGCCCCGGGGCAUCUGAGCAAUAUGCGCACCUUUGAAAAACAUCAAACUUCUUUGACAGAUGGUUUGGCAUUUUUAUCUGAAUCGGCUUCAACAUGUCCAAUUGAUUCAACCUUUGGAACAAACUGGCAUAUGACACUCCAAUAGCGAUGAAAGCCUUUUAUUGUUUCAUCAGCCUCUAGUUAUUAACUUGCUUGGGCCAGAAACCUGAUCUAAGAGGUUUUCGGUAUGCUCGUGGGGAUGGAUAGGCAUUCUGUGGAGCUGGGUACGGGGAAAGUGAUAUAUGAUUUUGGGAGUUCUGUGGAGAGAAGUAGAGUGGGGAGGAUCAUCUGGUACACAAGGAUAUCCACGGGGAUGAUGUCGAGGCUGGAAAUGUUUAUCGGGAAAGCCCAUCAUAUCAUCUUUUCUAUUUCUCUUUCUUUUGCCAAAUCUUACUUGGAUAUUCUGAAUGUCUUUCGAACAACUCAUGAUUUUGCCUGACUUGAUUCCCUCUUCUACUAGCUCCCCCAUUUUUAACACAUCAUUGAUAGGUUUUCCCAAAGCCGAGACCAAAUGACUGAAGUAGCUAGGCUCCUGGGCUUGUACUGAACGUCUUUCGAACAACUCGUGAUUUUGCCUGACUUGAAUCCCUCUUCUACUAGCUCCCCCAUUUUUAACACAUCAUUGAAAGGUUUUCCUAAAGCCGGGAUCAAAUGACUGAAGUAGGUGGGCUCCUAGGCUUGUAAAAAAGCUCAACCAUUUAUUCUUCACCAAUCGGGGUAUUGACUCGAGCAGCUUGCUCCCUCCAUAUGAGCCCAAACUUCCUAAAGCCUUCAUCCUGCUUCUUUUCCAUUUUAGAUAGGGAACAAUAGUCUGGGGUAGCACUUGAUUAGUGUUGAAAGUAUCGAACAAAAUCUUGAGCCAUGUCAACCAAUGUAGGACAUUUACCGACAUCUUGACGAGUAUACUAGUCCAAAGCUACCCUAGCUAGGCUCUUACUGAAAUAUGAUAUCAACAGGCCAUCUUUCUCUCCAACGUUUCUCAUUUCACUGCAAUAGACCCUCGGGUGGACUAUUGGAUCUCCACACCCAUCAUACAAGUUAAAUUUUGGCGCUUUGAACCCUGCGGGCAGGCGAACGUCAGGGGACACAAACAGUUCUUUGCAAGCCAUAUUACCCUGGUCUCCCAUUCCUUUCUUGUUCUUCAAGGACUGUUUUAUGCCUUCUAGCCUCCUGGGUGUCCCAUAUUUUCCCUCUCUUAAUGUGAAUUUUUCAUUUUCAACGUGAGACUCAUCCUGCGGGCUCUGCUUGUACGAGUCAGGAACCUUGUGGGCAACCUUGCGGGGUAGUAUCAGACAACAUGAGCUUUGAGUUGGUAUUCAUUGUUGGGCAUAGUGGAUGUGACAGGAGGGCACUUUUGGGAAAAGAAAAUUGGAGGAUGAGUGACGGAGCUACUAGGGCUGUUGGCAAAACUGUAAUAAGCGGGUGUAUCUGGAGAGUAUGGAGGAUCAUUCGGAACCAUGACCGGAGUUUGGAUUGUUGGAAACACGUUCUCAAUGCAAUAUACUAAAACGUGUAUUCUUUUGUAUAGUUUGAAGUCUACUGCUCCAUCACUACUCAAUGCGGAACCAUGACCGGAGUUUGGAUGAGGGUAGCAUCUAGGAAGCUAGGUGGUGGCGGGGGUGGUGCUUUCCCAGUCAUCCAAGCCUAAUACAUGUCCGCCAUGUGUUGUCUUAACAUCUUUACCUCUUCAACCAGCCCAUUGUCUUGUUCAACCAACUGCUUUCGGGCACCGGUAUCAACCAACUCAGUUCUGUUGUUGUCUACCAUUGCCUUUUGACAUUGUGUUUUAGAGAAGAGUUACCACUUAAAAAACCACAAACCAACUACCCUUCUGCAACGAGUAUAACAAAAUGAAGUCAUCAUGUUAGCGUUAGGGAAUUUAACAUAAGAUAAUUUCACUUUAUGUGCAAUGCACCAACCCACAGGGUACAAACCUCAGCUGGCAUCAUCCCAAUUUAUUUAUUUCAACCUCUCUUUUCUUUGCUUUUCUAUCACUUUCUAGCUUGCCCAUUUCCUUCAUUUCUCUUUUUUUCAUCACACUUUCUUUAUUUGAUAUCUCACAUCCCUCAAUUUCACCUCUCUUUUUUUGUUUCCUUCUUUUUUCCUUUUUUUCUUUUUCUUUUAAUAAUAAAAAAAAUAUUCAAUCGAACCCUAUGUAGGUUGCCUACAUAUCAUGACCCCGCAUGAAUCAGAUCUUUGCGUAGUUCUGUAAAAAUUGAGAAUAAAUUAAACAAACUGACGUCCUCUUUUUUUCUUUUUCUUUUCUUUUAACCUUAAUGACUACUCUGAAGAGAAAAGAGAAAUAAGAAGAAAUCCUGUUUUUUUUAAUUUUCUAGACUUAAUGUUCUAUAACAUAUUCCAAACUCAAGCAUAACCAGCAUAUAUAUUUUUUUUGUUUCUUUUUUCUUUUAAGACAAACACUCUAUGGAAAAUUAUUAAGGGAAUCCCCUAGAAGAGAAAAAAAAUAUUUUUUUGAUUCUUUUUUUUUUCUGGAAGAAAAUCUAAAGAGUAAAUCACAUAAAAGUAUUUGAAUUUUCAUUUUAUAUCCUGACGCGAGAUUUAGAAACAAGCAAUAAAAAAAUAAAAUAAAAUAAAAUAUUUUUGGAUUUCAAUUUUGAUUGCCAAAAGGAAAAAUUUUAAUGAUAAACAAAAGAUAAAAGUAUAUUUUUAUUUCUAUGUACAAUGUCCUAAAGUUCUAGUAAAAUAAAAGGAAUUUUUUUUCAAUAUUUCAUUAAUUACCCAAGAAUAACCUUAAAAGAAAUCUUUUUGGAUUUUUGGAAGUAAUUUCUUAAAGAAACUUUUAAAACGGUACUAUAAGGAAAUUCUCUUCUUCUUUUUUUGAAUUUUUAGCGUUAAUAUACUAAAAGGAAGUACAAAAGUAAAAAAAAUUGAGUUCUAGCUAGUAAUUUAAUAAAGAAAAACCACCUCAAAUGAUUUUUUUUAUUUCUAGAAUUAGUAUUCUAAAGAAGAUUCCCAACGGUAAUAUAAAAUACAAAUUUUUUUUUGGAUUUUUGAUUUAUUACACACAUUUUCAAAUGUAAAAUAGAAAGUUCAAUAACAAUAAUAAAAUUUGACAUUACUACACACAACUAAAAAGUAAAAGAAAACAUAAAAAGAAAAACAGACUCAAAACGCAAACAAAAGAAAAGAAAAUCUUCUUUUAAUCCACUCCUGAAUGAGCGAUCCUGACUAGAUGUCCUGAGGAUCUGUCAUGCUCAAACUCUGAUAAAUAAAUUCACACCUGUAUGAGAAAAUUAAAAUCAAAUAGGUUAAAGACCUAGAAUGCUAUGUGAUACAAUAGGCUCUGUCAUGCUCAGACUCCGAUAAACAAAUCCACACCUGUAUGAGAAAAUGAAAACCAAAUAGGUUAAAGACCUAGAAUGCUAUGUGAGACAAUAACCCGUCCUGUUGGAAACAUGCAAGACAUGAUUUAGGCUAUUUUUGUAAAAUGACUCAUUUGCCCAAAGAAUAGCUAGAAGUGAAAAAUUUGUGUAAGACCCCGCAAAGUCAAGAACCUAAGAUUUACUAGAAAGACCGGACCCUAUGUGGGCUGCCUUCGUAUCACGUCCCGAGAUGCGAGAAUUAUGUAUGCGUAGUUCGGGCAGAUUGGGUAUGCACGAGAAUUAAAAAAUAAUUAAUUUAGAGAAAAUAUAUUUUCUAUUUUUCUCGUAAAAUGAUGAAACAUGCAAAAAAUUUUGGAUUUUUUUUAAAUUUUUUUAUUUUUCGAAAAAUGAUGCAGAAGUGCAAAAUCUUUUUGAAUUUCUCAUGUAUUUUUUGUCUUUUUUUUUAUAAAAACGUAACAAAAAAGAGAUAACUAAGCUUACGUGCUUUAUUUUCACACUUCAUCUUUUUUUUCCUUUUUUUCUCUUAUCUUUUUUUCUUCGUUUUAUUUCAUUUUUCAUUUGCCCUCAACUUUCAUUGGUCCGCCAAAUGACCCUUUUACCCUUGGAGAAAUGCAACAUGUAGCACAUAGGAUGCAUCUAGAUGGUCUGUUAUUUUGGGUACACCAGUCCUAGACGGACCCAACCCUUGUGUUGAGUCCCUAAGUCAAAUGCACGUGAUGCAAAUAACCGCUCAUACUAGGGAUCCGGCAUGAGGCUGAGUUUUUCUAAGUUUAAAUCUUGGGGUUUUGAUCUAGAUAUAGGGUACCCGAGCGGACAACUGGGGCCGAGGAGGGGGACAUACCGGGAGCACUAAAGUCUACUCGGCCUUGUCGCUUGCCCAACCUCGCUCUAUUUGGUAUAAUUUCUACAAACAAACCGGGCUACGCGAACGUAUGCACCAUUUUCAGAAGACUCAGAGGAGUGGCAUUAGAAGACAGUUGUAGUGCAAUUUAACAAUAUUAAAACGGUAAACAGAUAGCAUUUAGCACAAAGGUUCACAAUAAUAUCAAUAAUAAAUAAGCCAAGUAAAAAUCAUAAAACAAACUCGAAUUCUUGAAUCCUGAACAAAAAGUUCCGAGUUCUAGAUCCCCAGCAGAGUUGCCAGAGCUGCCACACCCCCUUUUUUACUACACCCCGAAAGAGGGAUAUAAUAAAGGAAGUUUUUCCUAUUAAAGGACAAUCGAAACGGGAUUUAUUUUAUUAAAAAUCAGAGUCACCACUUGGGAUAAUUUAUGGUGUCCCAAGUCACCGGUUAAAAUCUCGAAUCGAGGAAAGGUUUGACUCUGUCUAUGUCUCCGAACCAGAAAUCCGGGUAAGGAAUUCUGUUAACCCGGAGAAGGUGUUAGACACUCUCGAGUUCAGUGGUUCUAGCAUAAUCGCUUUGAUAAUACUUGGCUUAUUAAAUUAUUUGACUACUAAUUUUAGAACCUGGGUGCUUUUGCCUUUUACCACUUUUAAUUAAGAAAAUUAUCUUGAAAUGCGUUACGCGUACGUAUACCCAUUUGUUUAGCGCGUCAAAAUCAUGUCUCGCGAACGUGUCCACGAUUAAAAAUGCUUUAUUAUUAUUAAUAGAGUUUGGCCAAAGAUGCGCGAACGCAUACUCCGAUUUUAUUUUUAAAAUCAUGAUUCUAUUAAGCGAACGUAUACGCAAUCAUAAUUGUAUUUUAAACGGCCUUAAAAGCUUUUCUACGAAUAUUAAUCAUUUUUACAUCUAGGUUAGGAAAUUAGUACAAGGGCCAUAUGAGAUUUAAAAGGUGGAAGACACACCUCGAAGGCUCGAACUAUAUGAACUAAUUUAAUUAGUAGCCUAUGAAAAUCCAUUUUUAUUAUUAAGAAAAGUUCGAUUGAAGUUACACGAAUACAUACUCCGAAUUGAUUUUUAGAAUCGUGAUUAUAUUACGUAAACGUAUACACAAUCACAAUUGUAUUAGUUAGAGAGUGCCUAAAACAAACGCAUGCACAAUCACAAUUGGCAUUAAAACUAUCAGAAGCCCGACGUAGAGGAGAUAAACCGAAUGCCUAACACCUAAGCCCAAUACGCUGAAUCUCUAAAUUUCAAAUAACCGAAGUGUUCCACAUAACUCCUGAAAAACUAAAAUGCAGUAGCAAAAGAAAAUAGGUACGGACAAAUAUAUUCAAAACAUGAAAAGGCAGUUGAAUCACUCACAACUCACUACACCAAAUAAUUUUAAGAAUCCUAAGAAUAUUGUUGUUCUUUAAAUUACACUUGAAGAUAAUUUGCAGCAAGGAAAUUCGACAACUUAACCAAACUUCUCAACAUAAAAUGUCGUUAAGCACAAUGCUCUUAGGAAGGAAAGACAACAUGAAACAUACAACAAGUCUUUAUACGAACGAACAUUUAAACAACCCGGAGAAGGGUUGUCGAGCAAACAACAUGGAGCACAAAGCAAGAAGGACACUUGAAACCUUCAAAUCCGCCACUGGCUUAUCAUAGAGUGGGUCAGAUUUUAACAAAAGGUGCUUGGAGAGGACUAAUCUAAGUAGGUUGAUGAAGCAUCAUAGGAAAAAUUAUUUCAAACUCGAACUUGAUGGAACCAAACCAGCAUAGUCUUCAGAUUAUCGACUCGCCAUUCAUUUAACAGUCAUGAGACCGUUCAAUUCCAGCUGUGAAUUAUCAGGACCCAAACAUGUCUCACUUUAAAAAAAACAAAUUUGGUUAACAAAUUGAUAGACAAACGAAUGGUCUAAAAUCUCAUAAACAAAAAACACUACUUCGCCUCCCAACAAACACAUCGAAGCAGAGGUGAAAAAAUUAAGUGCGAUCUAAAUAUCGAACACAUCGAAGCAGAGGUGAAAAACUAAGCGCGAUCUAAAUAUAGCAGCCAUUUCACCCUUCCUAGGAUCAUGUGAUUAAAAUUUCUGUUAACAGCAGAAUCCAAGCGCAAAAUGCUAUGCUCGUUCAGAAGAAGAGAACAUAACGAUUUAGGCAUGGAUGAGCAUGCAUACGACCCUAACAAUUAACUACGGUCCAAAUACUCUGCAUCAAAAAUCACUCGCACUAGGGAACCAGAUAACUCAAUGAAGAACCAUGAGAAUAUACAUUACUGAUUCAGAUUCAUUUGACGACCAUACUGCAGGGCAGAAUAGAACAAUAAAUGAAAUCGAAGAUAACCACGUAAGCCUCAUCUACCAUUUUAACUGAAAUCGUUUUACAAUCCGUCCAUGGCUUACUUCACAGUAGAAAUAAAAGGAAGAGCAGGAGUGAACCUGAAAUGAAAAUUAAACUAGCCUCCACACUGAAAUCAACACAGAUCAUCAACAGCCGCAACAGCCACAAAUCGACGCCUCGAACAAAAACGAGUUCAACUAUCUCUCAAUCGAACCCCAUUUUGAACAAAAUCCUGAUUGAAAGAAGAUAUGGAAUCUACAUGUUUGAAGCUUGUAGAAAACAAACCAAACAACCAUGAAAUCACAGAAUGUUGAACAUUUUUUGUUGUAUUUUUUAGUUAAACUAAGAAUGAAGGCAAACGAUAAAGAAGAAGAAGACUAUUCUGUAGAAACCAAAUCUUCCGAAAACAAACUAAACCUCCCUCUCAAAAAUCCUUUCUAAAAUCUCUCCGACUCUCAAAAAAGAAAAAAAAAGAGUACCCUCCAAAAUUGGAUAUGGUCCUUUAUAAAAACGAACCAUUGAUAAAUGUGGGGCUUGGAUUGAACGAAAUCAAUCCAGCGUCUCACACUCAUCCAACGAAUCGUCUCUAUGACCUUCCAAUCGCGUGCCUUAUCUCCAAAUUGAGCGACUGAAGGGAAGGAGAAUCUUCGGUGUCAGAAAUCGUUAAAAAUUGGUGAUGAGGAGAAAAGGAGGAACGCAUAAGGAGAGAUUUGAGGCUCACUCGCUUGGAUUUGGACUGAAAAUGAGGGUUGGUUCGUGUUCCCCCUUUGGAUAAGAAGAACAAUGCGCAGUCGGGUUUGGGAGAUUAGGAUUGUC